UGCGGAAGGAUCAUUACCUAGAGUUUGUGGACUUCGGUCUGCUACCUCUUACCCAUGUCUUUUGAGUACCUUCGUUUCCUCGGCGGGUCCGCCCGCCGAUUGGACAACAUUCAAACCCUUUGCAGUUGCAAUCAGCGUCUGAAAAAACAUAAUAGUUACAACUUUCAACAACGGAUCUCUUGGUUCUGGCAUCGAUGAAGAACGCAGCGAAAUGCGAUAAGUAGUGUGAAUUGCAGAAUUCAGUGAAUCAUCGAAUCUUUGAACGCACAUUGCGCCCCUUGGUAUUCCAUGGGGCAUGCCUGUUCGAGCGUCAUUUGUACCUUCAAGCUCUGCUUGGUGUUGGGUGUUUUGUCUCGCCUCCGCGUGUAGACUCGCCUUAAAACAAUUGGCAGCCGGCGUAUUGAUUUCGGAGCGCAGUACAUCUCGCGCUUUGCACUCAUAACGACGACGUCCAAAAGUACAUUUUUACACUCUUGACCUCGGAUCAGGUAGGGAUACCCGCUGAACUUAAGCAUA
rnacentral:rRNA from 1 species